AACGAACGCUGGCGGCAUGCCUAACACAUGCAAGUCGAACGAGACCUUCGGGUCUAGUGGCGCACGGGUGCGUAACGCGUGGGAACCUGCCCUUAGGUUCGGAAUAACUCCCCGAAAGGGGUGCUAAUACCGGAUAAUGUCUUCGGACCAAAGAUUUAUCGCCUUUGGAUGGGCCCGCGUUGGAUUAGCUAGUUGGUAGGGUAAAAGCCUACCAAGGCGACGAUCCAUAGCUGGUCUGAGAGGAUGAUCAGCCACACUGGGACUGAGACACGGCCCAGACUCCUACGGGAGGCAGCAGUGGGGAAUAUUGGACAAUGGGCGAAAGCCUGAUAAAGCAAUGCCGCGUGAGUGAUGAAGGCCUUAGGGUUGUAAAGCUCUUUUACCCGGGAUGAGAAUGACAGUACCGGGAGAAUAAGCUCCGGCUAACUACGUG
rnacentral:rRNA from 1 species